CCUACUGUGGGCAGCAGUGGGGAAUAUUGCACAAUGGGGGAAACCCUGAUGCCGCGACGCCGCGUGAGUGCAGCAGUAUUUCGGUAUGUAAAGCUCUAUCAGCAGGGAAGACAAUGACGGUACCUGACUAAGCAGCCCCGGCUAACUACGUGCCAGCAGCCGCGGUAAUACGUAGGGGGCAAGCGUUAUCCGGAUUUACUGGGGUUAAAGGGAGCGUAGACGGCGGAACAAGUCAGAAGUGAAAACCCGGGGCUCAACCCUGGGAGUGCUUUUGAAACUGUUUGGCUGGAGUGCAGGAGAGGUAAGCGGAAGUCCUAGUGUAGCGGUGAAAUGCGUAGAUAUUAGGAGGAACACCAGUGGCGAAGGCGGCUUACUGGACUGUAACUGACGUUGAGGCUCGAAAGCGUGGGGAGCAAACAGGAUUAGAUACCCGUGUAGUC
rnacentral:rRNA from 1 species